CACGUAGGGUGCGAGCGUUGUCCGGAUUCAUUGGGCGUAAAGAGCGUGUAGGCGGCCAGGUAGGUCGGUUGUGAAAACUGGAGGCUCAACCUUCAGAGGUCGACCGAAACCAUCUGGCUAGAGUCCGGGAGAGGAGAGUGGAAUUCCUGGUGUAGCGGUGAAAUGCGCAGAUAUCAGGAAGAACACCCGUGGCGAAAGCGGCUCUCUGGAACGGUACUGACGCUGAGACGCGAAAGCGUGGGGAGCGAACGGG
rnacentral:rRNA from 1 species